rnacentral:SRP_RNA from 1 species
GGGUGAUGGCAUAUUCCUGUAAUCCCUUGCUUCUGUGGAAAGCUAAAGCUGGUGGAUUGAUUGAGUUUGGGGAUUCUGAGCUACAGUGUGCUAAGCUCAUCGGGUAUACACAUUAAGUCUGACACCAAUAUGGUAGGUCCCGAGAGCAAGAGGCCACAAGGUUGUCUAAGAAAGGGGGAACGGGUCCAGGUUGGAAAUAGAGCAGGUCAAAGCUUCUGUGAUGAUCAGUUGUGGGAUGGCACCUGUGAGUGGCUGCUGUACUUCCUGCCUGGGUGAAAUGUGGAGGGACAGA